CUGAAGGGACAGUAGUGCCGGCCAUGCUCCAGGGUUGCUGAGGGGAUGGUAGACCGGUGACGUGCACUUCAUUCACGAUGUAGGUCACCUGUUUCACAAUCCAUCGGCACCCGGUCCAUCUG
rnacentral:pre_miRNA from 1 species